ensembl:lncRNA LOHAN2 lncRNA oncogene in head and neck cancer 2
GGGCUACCUGGAACUGGCUUAGGGUGGGAUUACAUACGCCUCCUGCCACAUCGGAUUUCCUUCUAUUUUGUCAGGGGUGGCAUCAUCCAGUGAGUAAAUCUGUUAGUGAUCUCCCUCGCAUAACCUAGGAAUUCUCUCAGGAUCCAUUUUUCCAGUAGUUUUGAGAAAGCGACCAACAACAGCAAAGAGAGUAGUUCUUCCAUUCCAAGAGCAGCCAUCUUGCUUAACUGACAAACUAGAGAGAACUGCAAGGACUCAGUACAUCCCUGGCACAGUCCAUUCUCUCUCACAGCAUAUUGUAUGAGACUGUGUGAGUGCUGCUUCCACGCUACACUAAAAACCCAUGGUCCCUGCAUUAUUUGAGCAACUGACAAGCUUCUGAAGUUCAGGUUCGCGAACGCUGAGAGCAGCACCCAGUGGAUUUGUGGCAGGGAUGCACUCUAUCUGCGCAGAGGAAAACUCGUAGGACCUCCUAGGAUGCAUCUUGGCUCCAAGUUCGUGCAGUGUUAUUAGGAAAUUACAAGUCUAAGCAGCCGCAAAGAGACCGUUAAAUCACAUCACCUGCAGGGACAGCGUUUCACUAUGUUGUCCAGGCUUGUUUCAAACUCCUGGGCUCAAGCCAUCAGCCUGCCUCAACCUCCUAAAGUGCUGACAUUACAGGCAUGAGCCACUGUGCCCAGCCAGGAAAUGUUUCAAAUACUUGAGAUUUUUGAUGAACCAAGCUGGCUGGUGUCGCCUCAGUUUGUCUAAAUUACCAAGGACCGCUGGAAUUUCCCUGGGAAUAUGUUUCGGGAAAGGUCAGAAACUCUUCAGUCGUCUUCACGCUUCCACUCAGUAGCAACGUUUUUGCACACUCAUUGACUAUCAACUGGUUGUCUAUGACUCAAAUUACAUAAUGAAUCCAGCACAUAAAUUAUUUACUCAGAUUUAAUGCCAGCAACUGUUAUCUUUGUAUUUUUUUCCCCUCUGCCAGCUAAUCUGGCUCAUUUCAUUGGAAUUUUGGUCAUGCCCAUUCUCCUUCUGCACUAAAUUAACUCCAUAACGUAGUAUAAACAGAACAAGCUUGUGUGUGAUAUGCUUAACUGUUAAUUUACCUAAUUAAACUAAUUCAAUUAAAUCAUUUACAUCUUUUUGGUAACAUGCCAGUUGAUACCACAGCAGAAGUGGGAUGUUUCAGAAGAUGAUUGUUCAGCAAAUGAAUGGAAAAAAAAAUAAAAGGAAAACAAAAUGAGACAACCGUCCAAAUCUCUUGGCUUGAAAAUUAAAUGAUACUGAAAAAAUGCAGCUUUCACGGGGCACUGUGAUUAGAUAUUUUUCUGAAAUCAAUUUUCUCUACAAAUUGGUAUUUUAACAGAGUGAUCACAAUCUAUUGUACAAAAUAUUUUAAACACUAUUUGUACAUUCACAUAUUUGGUAUGUUUAAGUAAAGUGUGCUUGUUCCCACA